GACGAACGCUGGCGGCGUGCUUAAUACAUGCAAGUCGAACGGAAAGGCCCUGCUCUUGUGGGGUGCUCGUGUGGCGAACGGGUGAGUAACACGCGUGUAACCUGCCCCUGUCUUUGUGAUAACACUAGGAAACUCGGGCGCUUAUCGCAUAGGAUCUCCUGCUCCAUGUUGUGGGUUGGAGAGUGUCGGCGGUAGUGGAUGGACUCGCGGCUUAUCCGCUUGUUGGUGGGGUAGUGGAUUACGAAGGCUUCGACGGGUAGCCGGCCUGAGAGGGUGACCGGCCACAAUGGGACUAAGGUAGGGACCAGACGGCUACGGGAGGCAGCGGUGGGAAGUAUUGCGCAAUAGGCGGAAGCCUGAGACAGCGGCGCCGCGUGCGGAAUGACGGCCUUCGGGUUGUAAACCGCUUUCGACUGUGACGAAGAGUGAGUGACGGUAAUGAGUAAAAAAGCACCGGCUAACUACGUG
rnacentral:rRNA from 1 species